GAGGGUAUAGUUUAGUGGAGGAGUGCAUGCUUAGCAUGCACGAGAUCCUGGGUUCAAUCUCCAGUGCCUCCA
rnacentral:tRNA from 1 species